UGGGGGAUAACGUUCGGAAACGGACGCUAAUACCGCAUACGUCCUACGGGAGAAAGCAGGGGACCUUCGGGCCUUGCGCUAUCAGAUGAGCCUAGGUCGGAUUAGCUAGUUGGUGAGGUAAUGGCUCACCAAGGCGACGAUCCGUAACUGGUCUGAGAGGAUGAUCAGUCACACUGGAACUGAGACACGGUCCAGACUCCUACGGGAGGCAGCAGUGGGGAAUAUUGGACAAUGGGCGAAAGCCUGAUCCAGCCAUGCCGCGUGUGUGAAGAAGGUCUUCGGAUUGUAAAGCACUUUAAGUUGGGAGGAAGGGCAGUAAAUUAAUACUUUGCUGUUUUGACGUUACCGACAGAAUAAGCACCGGCUAACUCUGUGCCAGCAGCCGCGGUAAUACAGAGGGUGCAAGCGUUAAUCGGAAUUACUGGGCGUAAAGCGCGCGUAGGUGGUUCGUUAAGUUGGAUGUGAAAUCCCCGGGCUCAACCUGGGAACUGCAUUCAAAACUGACGAGCUAGAGUAUGGUAGAGGGUGGUGGAAUUUCCUGUGUAGCGGUGAAAUGCGUA
rnacentral:rRNA from 7 species